rnacentral:hammerhead_ribozyme from 1 species
AUCCACCUAACGAGUCCCGAACAGGACAAAACGCGCGUCCUGAAU